UACGUAGGGGCGAGCGUUGUCCGGAAUCAUUGGGCGUAAAGAGCGUGUAGGCGGCUUGGCAAGUCUGACGUGAAAGCCCGCGGCUCAACCGCGGAUUGUCGUUGGAAACUGCCUCGCUAGAGUCCGGAAGAGGAGAGCGGAAUUCCUGGUGUAGCGGUGGAAUGCGCAGAUAUCAGGAAGAACACCCGUGGCGAAAGCGGCUCUCUGGAACGGUACUGACGCUGAGACGCGAAAGCGUGGGGGAGCGAAACAGGG
rnacentral:rRNA from 1 species